UACGGGAGGCAGCAGUGGGGAAUAUUGCACAAUGGGCGAAAGCCUGAUGCAGCUAUGCCGCGUGUAUGAAGAAGGCCUUAGGGUUGUAAAGUACUUUCAUCGGGGAGGAAAAACAAAACUAAUAAUUUUAUUUCUUGACGUUACCCGAAAAAGAAGCACCGGCUAACUCCGUGCCAGCAGCCGCGGUAAUACGGAGGGUGCUAGCGUUAAUCAGAAUUACUGGGCGUAAAGAGCACGUAGGUGGUUUUUUUAAGUCAGAUGUGAAAUCCCUGGGCUUAACCUAGGAACUGCAUUUUGAAACUGAAAUACUAGAGUAUCGUAGAGGGAGGUAGAAUUCUAGGUGUAGCGGUGAAAUGCGUAGAUAUCUGGAGGAAUACCUGUGGCGAAAGCGGCCUCCUAAACGAAUACUGACACUGAGGUGCGAAAGCGUGGGGAGCAAACAGGGAUUAGAUAAACC
rnacentral:rRNA from 1 species